rnacentral:lncRNA from 10 species
CAAAGGACACCUGCUUGACUGGGUCUCUAUUAACCAGGUUUCUCUGCAUAGAGUCCAGGCUGAGUUGCACAGAGUAGGCAGUCCCUUCAGGAAGAGAAGGUGUUUGUAAACUGGGCCAGAGCAAGGACAUGCGGGACCCCCGCAGAGUGAACUGACAGAUCUUGAUGUUGUGAGUAUCUGGAAGAGAGGUGGACACCCUCCCUCGGGGAGCUAAAGGCACACCUGGCCCAGGGGUUGGAGAAGCUGAAGGAGCCAGCAGGAGGAGAUGGAGCAGCAGAAGGAGGUGGAGCAGCAGGAGGAGGUGGAGUAGUCACAGUCCCACACCGCUGCCCCAUGCCAUGAAGGUGAGCCAGCAGAGGCUGAUGGGGCAGCACAGUGAAGAUGGCACCUGUCAAGUCAAGAGAUGGAAAAGCUGUAACUGAACCCUGAAAGUCGCUUAACCUGGGACCUUGACACAUGGAAGAACUACACUUCUCUGCACUUCCAUUUAGAGGUGAUCAUGG